UACGUAGGGUGCAAGCGUUAAUCGGAAUUACUGGGCGUAAAGCGCGCGUAGGCGGCCUCGUAAGUCCGUUGUGAAAGUCAAAGGCUCAACCUUUGAAAGCCGAUGGAUACUGUGAGGCUAGAGUCCGGAAGAGGCGAGUGGAAUUCCUGGUGUAGCGGUGGAAUGCGCAGAUAUCAGGAGGAACACCAAUAGCGAAGGCAGCUCGCUGGGACGGUACUGACGCUAAGGCGCGAAAGCGUGGGGAGCGAACAGG
rnacentral:rRNA from 1 species